rfam:Brevibacillus panacihumi W25 genomic scaffold Scaffold4, whole genome shotgun sequence.
CUCUUAUCCAGAGCAGGCGGAGGGACUGGCCCUAUGAAGCCCGGCAACCGACUAGAGCGGUGCUAACCAGCAGAACGGACAUCUGUUCUGGCCGAUAAGAG